UUAAUUGAAGAGUUUGAUCAUGGCUCAGAUUGAACGCUGGCGGCAGGCUUAACACAUGCAAGUCGAGCGGUAGCACAGGAGAGCUUGCUCUCUGGGUGACGAGCGGCGGACGGGUGAGUAAUGUCUGGGAAACUGCCUGAUGGAGGGGGAUAACUACUGGAAACGGUAGCUAAUACCGCAUAACGUCGCAAGACCAAAGAGGGGGACCUUCGGGCCUCUUGCCAUCAGAUGUGCCCAGAUGGGAUUAGCUAGUAGGUGGGGUAAUGGCUCACCUAGGCGACGAUCCCUAGCUGGUCUGAGAGGAUGACCAGCCACACUGGAACUGAGACACGGUCCAGACUCCUACGGGAGGCAGCAGUGGGGAAUAUUGCACAAUGGGCGCAAGCCUGAUGCAGCCAUGCCGCGUGUGUGAAGAAGGCCUUCGGGUUGUAAAGCACUUUCAGCGAGGAGGAAGGUG
rnacentral:rRNA from 1 species